rnacentral:rRNA from 1 species
UACGUAGGGGGCAAGCGUUGUCCGGAUUUAUUGGGCGUAAAGAGCGUGUAGGCGGUCAGGUAGGUCCGUUGUGAAAACUCGAGGCUCAACCUCGAGACGCCGAUGGAAACCAUCUGACUAGAGUCCGGAAGAGGAGAGUGGAAUUCCUGGUGUAGCGGUGAAAUGCGCAGAUAUCAGGAAGAACACCCGUGGCUAAGGCGGCUCUCUAGUACGGUACUGACGCUGAGGAGCGAAAGCGUGGGGAGCAAACAGG